AAAAAGUGAUCUAACUUGGUUUAAAUCCUUUAUCUAUGUUGAAGCAUUAUUGCAGAUUCCCUUUCUCUUUGUAGCCUGCUAUGGAUUUUAUAAGAAACGAAACUGGGUUAAACUUCCUUGUAUUGUGUACUCUACUCAUGUUUCCACAACUUUAGUCCCUAUACUAGCCACCAUCUAUGUUACACCAGGAAUAACAGUAGAACAUAGAGGCUUUUUAAUGGCAAUAUACGGGAUUUAUUUAGUGAUACCACUUUUACUAUUCCUACGUAUGACUCUUCCCAGGAGACCUUUCAUAGAAGUUCGAAAAUAUAAACUACAUUAAUUUUCAACAAGAAAAAGUUAAAUAAAAUUGUGUUAAAUUUA